rnacentral:rRNA from 1 species
CAGUAGCCGCGGUAAUACGAGGGGGGCAAGCGUUGUUCGGAAUUAUUGGGCGUAAAGGGCGCGUAGGCGGUUUGACAAGUCUCAUGUGAAAUCUUCGGGCUCAACUCGAAGUCUGCAUGGGAAACUGUCGGGCUUGAGUAUGGGAGAGGUGAGUGGAAUUUCCGGUGUAGCGGUGAAAUGCGUAGAUAUCGGAAGGAACACCUGUGGCGAAAGCGGCUCACUGGACCAUAACUGACGCUGAGGCGCGAAAGCUAGGGGAGCAAACAGGAUUAGAUACCCCCGUAGUCCCUGUCUCUUAUAA